rnacentral:lncRNA from 1 species
UGGGUCUCUCCUGGUGUCCAGCCAUUACCACAGGCACAGAGAUGGAUUCCUCUACACUUGGGAAACCCCAAGGCUGACCCCAGCCAGGGAUGCAUGUGGGUUACUUGGGAAUGGAGCAGCAGCACCACCUAGUGGCAAUGUGCAGCACUCCAGCGGUUCGUCCAGCACUUGUGUGGCCACAGCAUCCUCCUAGAGAGGGCUUCCCAUGCCAUGCAUUUGACUCACCAGCUCCAGUGUCACAGUGUGGGAAAGGCUGUAGUGGGUGUGCCGUGAAAAGGCAAGGCGUACUGCCAGGGCCUAAGGCUGGGACAGCACAUCUCAGUUUGUCUUCCAUAAACACACUUAGUGAACCUCCUCUCCGGGAUAUUUUUAUUAAUAUUUGGAGAACAACAUAAAACACAUUUCCAAGUGGUUCAUGAGAUGCCAUGGCCAUCCAAAAGAGGGAGGCAAUGCGCCGGAGCUUGGUCUUGACAAGAGAUAUUUUCCAUAGCAAAAUUUACCACUAACUCGAGGGCAAUACCAGGUGGGCUGGGAAUCUCACAUCUCCCAAAUUAGCCUCUUGAUUCUGUCACAAACUUUCAGAACUCAAAGGCUUGUGGUUCUGGGAAUGGAAACUAACCAAACAUCAUCUGGACUGAGACAGCCAAACCUGGAGACAGCGCCAUCCCAAAAGUGAACCGUCUGCUUCAUGGGAAGAACAUUUAUCUCAGAGCAGGGAGGGAUGUAGCAGCUGCAGUCGCAGGGGACCGAGACCCAAGACGGUGAUGCCCAGAGCACAAACACGACCCUCCACUGGCCUGUGGGGCUCUGGGAAAGAGCUUCGGCCUCACACUGGGUCACCUCCCCACAGGGUCCCCAUCUGGCAAAUAAGGGAAGGAACUAGCAUAAGGAAAAGGCUGGAUACCUUCCUAGUGUUAUGAAGUAUUGAUAUGCCAGUGAAAAAGCUCACGGAUGUCUUUAAAUAAAGCGUCUUACAUCAGGAACUCUGGGCUACAAUAUAGUUUCAGGGAAAAGUUCCAAUCUGAGCCUCUUUGCACCUGCAAUAAGCAAAUACCUUUUCUUUCCUGAGGAUCAUUUGCUUAAAGCACUGAAGAGUGAGCUGCUAUGUUUCAAAAAAAAUUUUUUUAAUAAAAAAUAAAUAAACAUGAAAAGGUACAGUAAAAAUAUGGUUUUAAAAAAAAAAGAAUGACAAUUCCUUCCUUUUUACGAAAGGAUGCCAAAGACUAACAGGACUCCAGACGCCAGACCAGGAUUGCAACAGCUGAACUCAGUCCCCGCUCCAACUCGCCUCCAUGAAGCCCGCUCUGGCCUUCGAGCACCAGCAAGCCCUCUGGACUUCUCCAUCAAUUGCAAAAAUGAUCAUCAAAGCUACUGAAAUGGAAGGUGGUGUUUAAAACUUAACACUGGGUUUCUUAAAAUGUAACACUGCUUUUCUUAUGGCAUGGAUAAGGCACUGUGAGAAAGCUGCCUCCACUCCCAGCACACACGUACACGUGCACACAGCAGAGGCUAGCUGAUGUGGCCACAAGGCACAAAGAAUAGAUCCUUCUGAUCAGUUCUGGUUCUGGAACUGGUUGGCGAGCCAGUUCAGGCCUUCGUAAAGCCCAUGUCCAGUAGUGGCACAAGUAGCCUGAAUGUGCCAGUUUCUGUAGCGGAGGGAAUGGAGGCCGAGCUUGUCUGUCUCAAAACAAAACAAAACAAAAAAAUCACACACACAUACACACACACACCCUCCAGAGUCAUUUUCUUUCUUUAAUAGUCAUAUGUUCACUAGUGCAAACUCUGGACUGACAUUGAACCUGAACAGUGAGAGUAACGGUUGUACAAAUGAUGAUCCAUCCACCGUUUAAAAUCAGGUCUACAAAGAGUUGGAAAACAAGAGACAAUGAUUUUGAUAAAUCUAAAGUGAUAAAACAGGAUGCAACAUUGUCACAACAGUAUGAUCACAAUUACAUAAUGAAUGCACUCAUGGAAGAGAAAGUGAAGGAAGGAUGUCAGAAUGUGACGGUGGUCAUCUCAGACUGGUACAAUUCCACGUGGUUCUUUCUACCUUCUUUUUCAUGCUUAGUUUAGCUCAGAGUCCUGAGGCUGGAUAGUUCUACGCUUGGUCUUCCUCCCAUGUUUCUUUUACUGUUUUACAUUUAUGUACAAGCCCUUUUCCUCCUCCAAAACAGGCCCUAUAUGAUUCAAUCUCAUCUCCUCUCUCUCUCCCCUGCUCAUUCUGUUCCAGCUGCACUGGCUCCCAUGCUGUUCCUAGAGCUUUAUUGAUCAAUUAAUAAAACUGUAGUUGUAAGCAUAGCAUGUCCCUGAAUUCUGUGAAUCAUUCUGACAAGUGAUCAAACCUGAGGGGGUAGUGGAAAUCGCCAAAUUUGUAGCCAUCUGGCCAGAAGUGAGGGUGGGCUGAGGACCCCCAAACCUGUUGCCAGCUGGUGGCUGAAGUUGGGGAUUCUUGUGGAGGAUGGUGCCCUCAACCUGUGAAAUAAAGUCCAACUCCAGGGGGUUGGUGCCGGAAGUCUCUGCAGCAUUCCAUACUAUAGCAUCAAAUACAUCCCAAAAAGUAAAAGAUACCUGGGGCAGGCCAAAGAAAGGCACCACCCCAUCACACCUGAGUGAAGGUGACCAAAACCUGCACAGACCCAGUCACUGCUACAUUGGCUGGAGGAAGCUGUGGGGCCAAAAGCAUCUCCAGGGAGGGGCACAGGUGGCAUCCAACACACCCUGGAGAAAAGAGUCACGUAGCGGCUGAUGGCUAUCUUCAAGUAGCUGAAAGUCUAUGAUGUAAAGAGGAUUUAAGCGUUUUAUAGAGCUCUGUGAGGUGGACUGAAGAUCAGUGGUGAAAACUACAGAAGUCAGCCUAGCAGAGUGUCAGCAGAUGAAGAUGCAAUGGCUGCCUCAGAAGGCACUCCUGUCACUGGAGAUACUUGUUUGUGCACAACUUCAGCCACAAUUCAUGGGGACCCUGCAGAAGAGACCCUCUUAAGAGGCAUCCAAGUAGCAUUCAUAGUGUCAGGAUAUAAAGACAAUACUCAGAAAUGAGCAAGAAGUCUUAGAAAUUCC